rnacentral:rRNA from 1 species
GAUUCCCUUAGUAACGGCGAGUGAACCGGGAAGAGCCCAGCGCCAAGUCCUGACGCGUGAUGUGUUCAGGAGAUGCGGCGUUAGUGCGUUAGCGCAUCGCACACCGUCUUGUGUCUCAAGUUCCCUUGACAGGGGCUGCCAGAGUGGGUGCUAGUCCCAUGGAGACUGCGAGACUGGUGUGCGCAGGCUAGCGCUCGUUCGAGUCAGGUUGCUUGAGAGUGCAGCUUAAAGUAGGUGGUAAACUCCAUCUAAGGCUAAAUAUCACAGCGAGACCGAUAGCAAACAAGUACCGUGAGGGAAAGUUGCAAAGAACUUUGAAGAGAGAGUUCAAUAGGACGUGAAACCACUGACAGGCAAACGGGUGGAACCACGAAGUGUGCCCGGGAGGCGAUUCAGUUGCGCCUGUUGGCUGGCACAACGCUUGAUGGGCCGUUUUUUCGGUCGUCUGCGUUGGGUAUUUAGCUGGCAGGUGUAAUGCAUUUUGUCAUUCCGGUGCUAAAGCCACGUCCGAUUGGGUGGCUGGAGCGGCCGUAGCGAGUGGUCGGAGGAAGGUGGCCGUUGUGCGCUUACGCGCUUAGCGGUGUUAUAGCCUCCGRCCCGAGCCGUUUCCUAGCGUGCCGAUCGGUGYAAGUACUCCGAUUGGAGUUUUGCCAGUAAAGGGUUGGUGUGCCUGUGCUGCCACGGCAGCGGCGUCAGUUUGGCCUUUCGCGCCUUCGGGUGUGCAAAGACAGGUUGGCGUCCGCGGUCUUGGUGGUGCUUGCAUGGCCUGCCUGAGCAAACGGUGGUGCGAGUAGGUCGGUGUCCACCCGACCCGUCUUGAAACACGGACCAAGGAGCCUAACAUGUACGCGAGUCGCUCGGUCUUGUAUAGGCCCGGGAGGCGAAAUGAAAGUAAUGCCGCGAGGCUUUUUUUAGCCGCAGCGGCUGCCCGCCUAUUUCAUUAAUCGGUGAUAUGGCGGAGCGGGAGCGUACACGUUGGUACCCGAAAGAUGGUGAACUAUGCCUGGGCAAGAUGAAGCCAGAGGAAACUCUGGUGGAGGUCUGUAGCGAUUCUGACGUGCAAAUCGAUCGUCAGACCUGGGUAUAGGGGCGAAAGACUAAUCGAACCAUCUAGUAGCUGGUUCCCUCCGAAGUUUCCCCCAGGAUAGCAGGCGCUUGUUUGACGCAGUCUCAUCCGGUAAAGCGAAUGAUUAGAGGUCUUGGGACCGAAACGGUCUCAACCUAUUCUCAAACUUUAAAUGGGUGAGAUGCCUGACUUGCUUGAUUUUGUGAAGUCAGGCAAUUGGAUGUGAGUGCCUAGUGGGCCAGCUUUGGUAAGCAGAACUGGCGCUGUGGGAUGAACCAAACGUGGAGUUAAGGCAUCAAAUGCGUACGCUCAUGAGAUCCCAUAAAAGGUGUUGGUUGCUAUAGACAGCAGGACGGUGGCCAUGGAAGUCGGAAUCC